UAACGUAGGGUGCGAGCGUUAAUCGGAAUUACUGGGCGUUAAAGACGGUGCGCAGGCGGUGAUGUAAGACAGGUGUGAAAAUCCCCGGGCGUUAACCUCGGGAACUGCAUUUGUGACGUGCAUCGGCUGGAGUGCGGCAGAGGGGGGAUGGAAUUGCCGCGUGGUAAGCAGUGAAAUUGCGUAGAUAAUGCGGAGGAACCACCGAUGGACGAAGGCAAUCCCCUGGGUCCUG
rnacentral:rRNA from 1 species